rnacentral:sRNA from 1 species
AUUACCUGGAGCAAACGUUUUGAAAAAUUGUUGUGAACUGCUGUGACCAAGGGGUUGCCUGGGUGCUAUUCCAGGAAUGGAAGAAAGUGAUCCAGCCGGAGAGCUGUAACAGCUGUCGGAAUUAGCCAUCUCAACCUGUCUCCCCAAGUACAAAUACAUCAUUACCGAGGACGAGCAUACGAAGUGUGAAUUUCUCAUGAAGAAAAGGUUUUAACCAGUCAAUCAAUAAAUCCUGGACUUGCAAUUGUUUCCUGGUAGGGUAGCAUAUGUUCUCAUAACAUUAUCGUCCAUGAGUGCUUUAACACGGAACAGACUGAAACAGCCAGGACUACAGAGAACACAACCAAACAUAUGCUCGGCGGACUUCUGGAGCCAGUGCCCUAUGGCGUACUCAAAACGCUGGUACCAGACAACAGGUCCUGAGAACAGAAUAAUUUAGUGUCGUUUAAUGUCCAUGUUUAACGGAUAAAAGUCAAAUGACAAAACAUAUAUACUGCAUAAUAUAAACAUUAAAGAACUAUAAUUUAGCG